rnacentral:rRNA from 1 species
AUUGAACGCUGGCGGCAGGCCUAACACAUGCAAGUCGAGCGGAUGAAGGGAGCUUGCUCCUGGAUUCAGCGGCGGACGGGUGAGUAAUGCCUAGGAAUCUGCCUGGUAGUGGGGGAUAACGUCCGGAAACGGGCGCUAAUACCGCAUACGUCCUGAGGGAGAAGUGGGGGAUCUUCGGACCUCACGCUAUCAGAUGAGCCUAGGUCGGAUUAGCUAGUUGGUGGGGUAAAGGCCUACCAAGGCGACGAUCCGUAACUGGUCUGAGAGGAUGAUCAGUCACACUGGAAAUGAGACACGGUCCAGACUCCUACGGGAGGCAGCAGUGGGGAAUAUUGGACAAUGGGCGAAAGCCUGAUCCAGCCAUGCCGCGUGUGUGAAGAAGGUCUUCGGAUUGUAAAGCACUUUAAGUUGGGAGGAAGGGCAGUAAGUUAAUACCUUGCUGUUUUGACGUUACCAACAGAGUAAGCACCGGCUAACUUCGUG